GAUGAACGCUGGCGGCGUGCCUAAUACAUGCAAGUCGAGCGAACAGACGAGGAGCUUGCUCCUCUGACGUUAGCGGCGGACGGGUGAGUAACACGUGGAUAACCUACCUAUAAGACUGGGAUAACUUCGGGAAACCGGAGCUAAUACCGGAUAAUAUAUUGAACCGCAUGGUUCAAUAGUGAAAGACGGUUUUGCUGUCACUUAUAGAUGGAUCCGCGCCGCAUUAGCUAGUUGGUAAGGUAACGGCUUACCAAGGCGACGAUGCGUAGCCGACCGGAGAGGGUGAUCGGCCACACGGGAGCGGAGACACGGUCCAUGCUCCUACGGGAGGCAGCAGUGGGGUAUGUUAGGCAGUAGUCGGGAGCCUGACACAACGAGGCCGCGUGUGUGGAAAAGACCUUCGGUUAGUAAAGCCCUCUUUUUGGGUAAGAACAACUGUGAGUAUAGAUGACGCCGUCUUGACGGUACCUGAAGAAAAAGCACCGGCUAACUACGUG
rnacentral:rRNA from 1 species